GGCCAUAGCUCAGUAGUAGGACAUCUACUUUGCAUACAGAAGGUCCCAGGAUUAAUCCCUGGCAUCUCCA